CGAUAACCGUGCAAUCCUAUGGCCCGAGCGCCAGUCCAGCCCAAAUCAAAGCCAUCCUCGUCUAAGCGGAUCCCCCGACGCCGUCCACCUCCGUCAGCCAUGGCGCCGCCGCAGCACGACCCCCGCCGGCCCUACAAGCGCGCCACCAUCUUCGACCAGCAGCGCCGCCGCGACUCCGUGCUCCGGACUCAGUCCGCCCGGCGCGCUGACUCUCAGGCGCGCGCACGCAGCCUCGCCAACUCCCUCCUGUCCCCCGCGUCGUCUUCCUCCGACGACCAACCGCCUACCUCCCCCGAAGCCCACGGAGACGAUCCCGCCGUCGCCGAAGUCGCCGCGGCCGCAUCCAAGCUCCGUGGCCCGGACCGGCGCCGCUGGUUCGCCCGCCAGAUCAUGCUCCCGGAGUGGAUGGUCGACGCCCCUCCCCACCUCGCCCGCGACUGGUUCUUCUUGCAGUCAGCGACAGCUAGAGUCGCUUUGGUGAGAAGUUGAGGGCGCAGGUACAAGGCAGCAGUAGUAGCAGCUUAGCCUCCAUCAGUGGCGGCAGCAGUACAACACCCUCCUAAUGUUGUAGCAAGUCACGGUGGCGGCGGCGGCCCAUGUCCCAGUGUUUGUUGAGCGCAAAGGGCGCGUUCUCCGCACCAUCGGAUGGAAGUUAACGCCAGUAUUCAUUGGAUUCAUCACUCCUAUACGCAGUGCAGCGCCUCGGGACGAGAAAUGUCUAGGAGUGUUUAAAAGGAUGGAUAGGGAAAAAACCUGGUGGACAACCGCGAAGCAUCCGCUACCGCUGCCACGCCGCUCACCACAUGCGCGCAUGGCCCCGAUCACGGGAGAGCACAACUACCUCCGACGAACACCAUGGAAGAUCCGCCUCUGCUCACCACUUCCGCAUCAAGGCUCCUCCCUCCGUCCGCUGAAUUGACCGCCUCUCCGUCCCUCCGCCCCCUUCUCAGGCCACACCCAAGCUGACCCCGCCCCUCGAGGAGAAGUGUCCCGGCUAGAUCCGUGUGGAGCACCCGGCUGCCGGCCAUGUUCUUGAGGAGGAGAUAUCCGGAGAGAUUCAUGGGGAGAUGCAGGGCGGUAUGGAGAUCCGGCGGAAGAAGAACAGCAAGAAGGGUUACGAAAUUGGGGCUUCCUGUUGGUCGAAGAUUUUUUACGAUUAAGGGUCAAGAAUUGGGGCUUAUCUUGGAAAGAAACCACCAACUGGCUCUGUUUUAGGGUUAAUGAAGGUGAUUUAGAAUUAAGAGCUUGCAGAUGUCGAAAAUCGCCCUGUAUCCUAAUUAUCACUAUAUUGUGCUUCUGACAUGAUUAUUGCUACUGGGUUUAAAGAUUGUCUGCUUAAUUAUCUGCAUUUCUAGCAGGCUGCUUGGUGAGUGAUUGGAAAUGUUUACUAGAAAAAUAUCUUCCCCAUUGAAUUAGGAUUGCCUGGGCCUGUAAAUAUAGCUGACGAAGGUUAUGAAUGCUGUCUGUCGAACUCAAACUUAACAUUUCUCCUCUGUCCAAGAAUGUCUUCACUUUUCAAACCAAGAGCGGUUUUGGUAUUUCGAUUCUCCGCGUCAGUUGAUUAAAUGGCUCAUAGGACUGUCUUAUAUAAGCAGUACAUAGUUAGCGACACUAAUCAGAGGUUUAUUUGAUUGUCCAAGUAGAUGCUCUGUUUUAGCAAGUAGAUGAAGUAGUCACUGGUGACAAUUCAGUUUUAUUUUUCGAUUCUCCGCGUCAGUUGAUUAAAUGGCUCAUAGGACUGUCUUAUAUAAGCAGUACAUAGUUAGCGACACUAAUCAGAGGUUUAUUUGAUUGUCCAAGUAGAUGCUCUGUUUUAGCAAGUAGAUGAAGUAGUCACUGGUGACAAUUCAGUUUUAUUUUUCGAGGUUCACUACUAGUUGUUCAUAUUGUACUUAUAGAAACAUUAUAUAAAUCGAACUGAUAAAAUCCAGAUCGCUGAACAUGUGGUUCAGUAGUUGCAUCGCUUAGUUGCUGUGUGGGACAACUACCAAAAUAACUCCCACAAUCUCUUAUCCGGAAUCAUCUUAUUUGAAUAUGUUUGAGCAGAGGUUACUUUUAAACAUAGCUCAAGAGUAUUUUCAUUGAUUAAUGCUUGUUUGAACUUUGAGUUUUCUUGCUUAUCUACUUACUCCAAUCUG